GGUGAGGUUUUCCUUCUAGUCAUUUUGCUCAGUGCAGAGUGGCCAAAAGCAAGUUGUAUUGGGAAAAAGAGAAAAAGAGAGGAGAGAAAGAAGGAAAGCAAAGAGAAAGAGAAAAAAAAGGGAAGAAAAAAAAAGAAAAAAAGAAGAAAAAGAGAAAGAAAAAGAAAGGAGAAAAAAAGGGGGUGGGGGAAGGAAACAAAUCAAAAAGCAAAAAAAAAAAAAAAAAAAAAAAAAAAAAGAACCACGGGGGAGUAUCUUCUGAUUCUGUGUUCUUUAAGUCCCUUGGCUUCUCCUGGAAGUUGUCAGUCUAGCUGGUGUUCUGUCAGUCUAGCCUGUUGUGCUGAUUUUCAGGUGUUAGCAGUUGGGGGAGCUGCUGUGCCCCUGCCUGGUGCAGGGCUCAGUGGGGGUUGUUUACCCCGUGAGGCCGCAGGAGGAACAGCCCCAGUGGCGGGGCAGCUCUGGAAACCUGGAUUCAGCUCCGGCAGGAACUCCGUCUGCAGGGCCUGGAGGCUCCGGGGCGGGGCCGCUGAUCUGCUCAGCUGGGGCAGGAGCGUCCUUGCUGUCCUGGGCCCUCCCGGCCUCUGCCUGUCCCGGGGGAGGCGGGAUCCUGGGCUGUGUCCCGGCGCCCUGUGCUCCGGGGCCUGCGCUGGUGGAUUCGCGCUCCCGCCCCGCAGCCCCCUCCGCGGAGCCGCCGCCCGAGCACCCGAGCUGCUCCAGGAACCGCGCAGCCCCCUCCGCACGGAGCCUCUUCCUCUGCCCGAGCCCCUCCGAGCUGCUCCCGGGGCCGCGCAGCCCCCUCCGCGGAGCCGCCGCCCGAGCACCCGAGCUGCUCCAGGAACCGCGCAGCCCCCUCCGCACGGAGCCUCUUCCUCUGCCCGAGCCCCUCCGAGCUGCUCCCGGGGCCGUGCAGCCCCCUCCGCGGAGCCGCCGCCCGAGCCCCUCCGAGUGCGCGCUGCAGCCCUUAGGGAGCUCGGCGCACUCUCCUGGGCGCGCAGUUGCUGUUACUGUCCCCGGGAGCCCGAGGGCAUCCCCGCCCUCCUGGGGUCCUGCUCCAACUCCCCGCGAGCCCCUUUCCCCCGGGAAGGUCGGUGCAGCUCCUGCGUCUCCGGGACGGGGCUCUCCUGUCCUGGGGACACUCGCCCCGGCCUCAGCCCGGCUCCUCGCGGGGCCCCUCCCCCUUGGAGGCCUUUGUUCCUUUACUUCUUUUUCCCCGUCUUCCUACCUUGA
rnacentral:lncRNA from 12 species